UACAGAGGUGGCAAGCGUUGUCCGGAAUUAUUGGGCGUAAAGAGCUCGUAGGCGGUCUGUCGCGUCUGCUGUGAAAACUCGGGGCUUAACCCCGGGCCUGCAGUGGGUACGGGCAGACUAGAGUGCGGUAGGGGAGACUGGAAUUCCUGGUGUAGCGGUGAAAUGCGCAGAUAUCAGGAGGAACACCGGUGGCGAAGGCGGGUCUCUGGGCCGUAACUGACGCUGAGGAGCGAAAGCGUGGGGAGCGAACAGG
rnacentral:rRNA from 1 species